rnacentral:rRNA from 1 species
GAAAUGAUAGCUAAUACCGGAUUAAAUAUAGAUUCGUUUCUAUAUUAAAAGGAGCCUUUAAAGCUUCGCUUAAAGAUGGGCCUGCGGCGUAUUAGCUAGUUGGUGAGGUAAUGGCUUACCAAGGCGACGAUGCGUAGCCGAACUGAGAGGCUGAUCGGCCACAUUGGGACUGAGACACGGCCCAAACUCCUACGGGAGACAGCAGUUAGGAAUAUUCGUCAAUGGGGGAAACCCUGAACGAGCAAUGCCGCGUGAACGAUGAAGGCCCUAUGGGUUGUAAAGUUCUGUUGCAUGGGACGAACGGCUAGGAUAGGAAAUGAUCUUAGUGUGACGGUACCAUGCCAGAAAGCUCCGGCUAACUACGUGCCAGCAGCCGCGGUAAUACGUAGGGAGCGAGCGUUAUCCGGAUUUAUUGGGCGUAAAGGGUGCGUAGGCGGUUUGUUAAGUAUGAGAUUAAAGCCUGAGGCUUAACCUCAGUUCGUUUCAUAAACUGGCAGACUUGAGUAUGGCAGAGGUAAACGGAAUUUCUAGUGUAGCGGUUAAAUGCGUAGAUAUUAGAAGGAACACCAGUGGCGAAGGCGGUUUACUGGGCCAUAACUGACGCUGAGGCACGAAAGCGUGGGGAGCAAAUAGGAUUAGAUACCCUAGUAGUCCACGCCGUAAACGAUGAGUACUAAGUGUUGGG